UACUUCUUAUAAUGAACUUUAAGUCUCAAUUUACUCUUGAGUUGCUGGUCUUUUGUUUGUUUUUGUCACUUGGUAGUUGGGAUUUCCCUUCACAGGUGAGCCAACUUCUUCACAUAGUUUUAACCAGUACCUAUAAGAUAUGCGCUAAUGCUUGCAGUUAGAAUUUUGUUUCUUUAAACUCUGUGUGAUAGACCUAUUCUCUGCCAUAUAUGUCUGUUAAAAAAUAAAGCCACAACCUGAAUUAAAAUAAUUUUUAUUUUUAUGUGUUUUUCGAACUUUCUACAAUGAAAUUACAUUUCUAUUAUAAUCCUACCCCCAUGCCCGCAUUUAUAUUGUUAGAGCUUCCACUUUACCUCUAUGAAAAUCACUAUUUAGUUUAAGAAAAGGUAACUUUAUGUACUUAGAAUAGAUAAAAUAGUUUCUGAUCAAUAGUUAUAGGGCCCAUUCUAGGGCAUAUUAUUUUUGUCACAGAUUAAUACCGUUGUUUAUAUUUGUAACCUUACAUCAUCAGGUAAGUGCUUGUUACCAUGAUGGUUUCAGAUCAUUUCAGAUCAUUGUGCUGUCUGCACAAUGGGAGUGCCAAAAACAACUGAAAAAGGAAGGAGGACAGCUCAAAGCAUUUUGAAAAGAACUCGACUCGUGUUUGAAGAAGCUGGCUUGGAAGAUUAUAGUGAGGUUCGCGUUCGGAUUUUAGGAUUUGAGGAAAUAUACGGAGCACAAGCUAAAGCAAAUUUAAAUGGAGCAUGCGCAAUCUUAGCUCCCCAACCAGGGAUCGAACCUGCACCCCCUGCAUUGGAAGACGAAGUCUUAGCCACUGGACCACCAGGGAAGUCCCUAUUUUUAAUAGGAUGUUUAUUUUUGUGGAUAUGCAUGGCAUAAUCAGGAAAACAUAAUAGUAAACUCCUUAUAGUAAUCAUGCAAACUAGAGAUAUUUAUAUGGUCCAGAAAAAAAUCUUUCAUGCUAUGCAGACACAGAUUUGUGCCUUAUUUUGAGCUAUGCAUUUGUUAAUUUCUACUCUUUGUUAAUAGGGUCUUCGAGAAGUAGUCCUUUGGCUUUCAGUACAUCAUAAACAGAAGGCGGCAGUGGAAAUUUUUUCAAGAGAAAUUGCACCAGCAGGGACUGGAAUGGGUGGCUCAGGUAAAUCCUGAUUGGUCGGAACCAAAGUGAGAUGGAGAAGGAAGUAAGAGCAAAAGAAACUCUAAUACAUGGAGUGAAGAAUAGGACUUUAGUCACAAUUCUCAUGGAUACACAGAUAUGAAUUGCCAGGGACAUAUGCAUUAAACUUUGUUUUGAAAAAUUGCCUUGGUGGUGGAGGCACUGCCUCACUGAGAAGUGACUCACAGGGCAAAACACUUGGACAAAUGGUACUGGACUUCCAGAUAAAAGGUGUUCCUGAUUUAAAGUCAUUAGUAGAUGGAUAAAGAGCUUUGGCAUUGGGAAACUUAUUGUUUCUUAGUACAAAUGAAAAAUUGAAUCCAAGGUAAAAGGAUGUAGAAAAUACGCAUUAUAAGUAAACACCCACUUGGGUGGAUUGAAUACCAGCAUUAAUAAUGUGGUCACUGGAAAGUAGAAGAGAGUAGGUGAUUUUUAACACAGAACUAUAAACAAUAAAGAUUUAACAUAUG